AGGUGAACCGCCAGAGAUGGGGCUGGCCUCCACACCACUGCAAACCACCUGCCCCAGCACAGGGACCAUUACCUGCAUCAACCACUGCCAGCAUCACCCCCAGAUGGGAUGGAUGUCACUUUAUCACCUGAGGUGGCCACAGCAGAGCCAGGGAGCCCACAGCCAAGCACAGCACAGAGGUGGCUAGAGCAGAUGACCUGGUACACUCCAGCCACACCAGCAUUUCCAAGGAGCUCCGGCAGGGCUAAAGGAUGCUAAAGGAUGGGUCCAGCUGGAUCUGGCCCCGCAUGGCCUCACCUGCUCCUCCAGCAUCAUGCGGACUGAGCGCUCCUUGUCCAGCUGCUGCCGAAGCUCGAUCAUCUCCCGCCGCAGAUCCUCAGCCUUCUCAUCCUCCCAGAUGUCUGGGAGAAGAUGUACUCAGCCGUUUGCUGGAGGAUGGCCGCCUGCGGAAGAGCCAGGAGGGGAACACUGAGACAGGAGAGACCACGGCAUCUCCCCAGGCCCUGCUCCAGCCAAGCUCCCUCCCUGCCUGACACACAGCAGCACUGCUCCUUGCCUGGCCCCAGCAUCUCCGUCCAGGUUCUGCUUCACCCCUGGGAUUUCCAUCAUGGUGAACCUCCAGUUCACUCAUCUCAGGAACACAUAUGGCAGCCAAGCGCCAGCUCCUCAACCCACUUGCCUGCACAGCGUGGCCACCUUGUUGCCAAGGCACCUGCCACCCUGCUCACAGGGUGCUGUCACAUACACCCAGCCCACUCUGAGACACCAGGGCUGCAACGCACACCCGCUCUCAUGAGGAAACCUCUUCCCAAGAGACCUCCAUCACUGAAUUAACAUAAGCAAAUACCCCAAUUACUCUUACAGCCCUGUCCUGCCCAACAAGGAACUCUGAAAACCUUCACAUGCAGAACAGU